rnacentral:lncRNA from 1 species
UCAAAAUGCAACGCUGAGGACCUUUAUGUGUUUGUAUGCAUGCGAUUGGCAACAUAACUGGCUUAUUUACAUUAAAUACGCCACAAGGUUACAGUGCAGAUCAACGUCACUUUAUCGCUGAUUACUUCUCUUAAACGCCGGAGCGGUGACUGAUGCUCCGGUCCCCCUGUCCGCCAAGGUUUCCCCGGGAGUUUUUUUUUUUAGGAGAAACAGACUUUGCAUAGUUUCGGGAGCAGGUUUUAUUUUUCCAGUUGUGACCUUCAGUACCUAUCCUGUGUCUUUUAAGAAUUUCCUCAUCCAGGGAACAGAUUCAUUGGCUUAAGAAUAACUGAUCUUGUGAAUUAGUAGAAACUCAAUGAUUCAGAGGAGUUGUGCUGAUUUAUAGCUGAUGUGAGAGGAUAUCCAGGCAUAUUAAAGCUUCAGUACUGCAAAGGCAUAAGCAGGUAUUGAAUUACUGAUGCUAAUGGAAUUACUCACGUGAGUAAAGUUAAGUAGAGACGUAAGUGUUUUCAGGAUUGAUGUCUGUACUUACGAAUUUAUAUCAUUUAAGAGUAUGGCUCACAAUUUUUAAAACUUACUAAUUGAAUGUGAGCUACUGGAUUUUAUUCUAGACAAUUGACUUGAAAAGAAUUACAGGGACUUGAUUCUAGAAUAAUUCCAUCAGCUUCAGAGAAGAGAUGUGCAUUUUUUAAUGCUGUAAAUAAGGAUGUAGUUUGACCAAUUCACUCCACUGAUCCCCACUAAUAUCAGGAAAUACUUGCCAGAGUAAAGGAGGAG